rnacentral:rRNA from 1 species
AGUUUUAAUAAAUCCAACUUGCUAAGAAAGUUUGGGGGCGAUAGUAGUACUAGGAUGGGUAACCUCCUGGGAAGCCCUUGUGUUGCAUCUA